rnacentral:rRNA from 1 species
UGCUGGAGGUAUCAGAAGUGCGAAUGCUGACAUAAGUAACGAUAAUGCGGGUGAAAAACCCGCACGCCGGAAGACCAAGGGUUCCUGUCCAACGUUAAUCGGGGCAGGGUGAGUCGACCCCUAAGGCGAGGCCGAAAGGCGUAGUCGAUGGGAAACGGGUUAAUAUUCCCGUACCUGGUGUUACUGCGAAGGGGGGACGGAGAAGGCUAUGUUGGCCGGGCGACGGUUGUCCCGGUUUAAGCGUGUAGGCUGGUUUUCCAGGCAAAUCCGGAAAAUCAAGGCUGAGGCGUGAUGACGAGGCACUACGGUGCUGAAGCAACAAAUGCCCUGCUUCCAGGAAAAGCCUCUAAGCCUCAGGUAACAUCAGAUCGUACCCGAAACCGACACAGGUGGUCAGGUAGAGAAUACCAAGGCGCUUGAGAGAACCCGGGUGAAGGAACUAGGCAAAAUGGUGCCGUAACUUCGGGAGAAGGCACGCUGACACGUAGGUGAAGCGGUUUACCCGUGGAGCUGAAGUCAGUCGAAGAUACCAGCUGGCUGCAACUGUUUAUUAAAAACACAGCACUGUGCAAACACGAAAGUGGACGUAUACGGUGUGACGCCUGCCCGGUGCCGGAAGGUUAAUUGAUGGGGUCAGCGCAAGCGAAGCUCCUGAUCGAAGCCCCGGUAAACGGCGGCCGUAACUAUAACGGUCCUAAGGUAGCGAAAUUCCUUGUCGGGUAAGUUCCGACCUGCACGAAUGGCGUAAUGAUGGCCAGGCUGUCUCCACCCGGGACUCAGUGAAAUUGAACUCGCUGUGAAGAUGCAGUGUACCCGCGGCAAGACGGAAAGACCCCGUGAACCUUUACUAUAGCUUGACACUGAACACUGGUCCUUGAUGUGCAGGAUAGGUGGGAGGCUUUGAAGUGUGGACGCCAGUCUGCAUGGAGCCGUCCUUGAAAUACCACCCUUUAAUGGCUGGUGUUCUAACGUAGACCCGUGAACCGGGUUGCGGACAGUGUCUGGUGGGUAGUUUGACUGGGGCGGUCUCCUCCUAAAGCGUAACGGAGGAGCACGAAGGUUGGCUAAUCCUGGUCGGACAUCAGGAGGUUAGUGCAAUGGCAUAAGCCAGCUUGACUGCGAGCGUGACGGCGCGAGCAGGUGCGAAAGCAGGUCAUAGUGAUCCGGUGGUUCUGAAUGGAAGGGCCAUCGCUCAACGGAUAAAAGGUACUCCGGGGAUAACAGGCUGAUACCGCCCAAGAGUUCAUAUCGACGGCGGUGUUUGGCACCUCGAUGUCGGCUCAUCACAUCCUGGGGCUGAAGUAGGUCCCAAGGGUAUGGCUGUUCGCCAUUUAAAGUGGUACGCGAGCUGGGUUUAGAACGUCGUGAGACAGUUCGGUCCCUAUCUGCCGUGGGCGCUGGAGAACUGAGGGGGGCUGCUCCUAGUACGAGAGGACCGGAGUGGACGCAUCACUGGUGUUCGGGUUGUCAUGCCAAUGGCACUGCCCGGUAGCUAAAUGCGGAAGAGAUAAGUGCUGAAAGCAUCUAAGCACGAAACUUGCCCCGAGAUGAGUUCU